UAAUUUGUGUUCUAAUAAGUUCUAAUUUGUGUUUUAACAAAUAAUGCUUUAAUUUGGCAGCCUUUUCCAACUUUUGCUUGUCAAGCACAAGAUCAUGAUUCUUUUAACUUCUGUAACUUGCAGGUAUUGGAGGCAAGAGCUGGGUAUUAUGAAAAGCCAAUUGCUACAAUAGAUUUUGCAUCACUAUAUCCAUCUAUUAUGAUGGCCUAUAAUUUAUGUUAUUGUACCCUGGUGACUCCUGAAGAUGUUCGGAAACUUAAUCUCCCUCCAGAAUCAGUGAACAAAACUCCAUCUGGGGAAACAUUUGUUAAAUCAAAUUUGCAGAAGGCUAGUAUUGGAAUGGAUAACUUGAACGCUUAAUGCACAAAGUGGAGCAGUUUUAGGUUGAUUCUGAUCUUUUACUAAGUAUUUAGGCUGAUGAGCAUCUCUAUUAGUGUAAUUUGAAAUAUUGAGCAGUUUUAACUUGUAUUGUUUCUGUAUUUUUCUUCGAUUUUUAGUUUUGGAAUUUAAACUCGAAAUUUAUUUUGUAUUUGAAUAUUAGU